rnacentral:misc_RNA from 1 species
UUGAAUAAACUUGGUUGGGUUGUUGCUGGCUCUUAGGAGCAUGUGCACGCUCACUCCAUCUUUAACCACCUGUGCACCUUGUGUAGAUUUGAACAACUCUCGGGGAAACUCGGUCAGAGGAUUGCUGUGUGUAAAAACCGGCUUUUCUUGAGUUCAGAUCUAUGUCUCUAUAUACUCCAUAAGAAUGUAUUGGAAUGUAAUUGAUAGGCGUUUACUGCCUUUAAAAUCAAAUA